rnacentral:rRNA from 1 species
UUUCUUACACCGAAUGCUUGCAUUCACCGUAAGAAGUUGAGUGGCGGACGGGUGAGUAACACGUGGGUAACCUGCCUAAAAGAAGGGGAUAACACUUGGAAACAGGUGCUAAUACCGUAUAUCUCUAAGGAUCGCAUGAUCCUUAGAUGAAAGAUGGUUCUGCUAUCGCUUUUAGAUGGACCCGCGGCGUAUUAACUAGUUGGUGGGGUAACGGCCUACCAAGGUGAUGAUACGUAGCCGAACUGAGAGGUUGAUCGGCCACAUUGGGACUGAGACACGGCCCAAACUCCUACGGGAGGCAGCAGUAGGGAAUCUUCCACAAUGGACGCAAGUCUGAUGGAGCAACGCCGCGUGAGUGAAGAAGGUCUUCGGAUCGUAAAACUCUGUUGUUAGAGAAGAACACGAGUGAGAGUAACUGUUCAUUCGAUGACGGUAUCUAACCAGCAAGUCACGGCUAACUACGUGCCAGCAGCCGCGGUAAUACGUAGUGGCAAGCGUUGUCCGGAUUUAUUGGGCGUAAAGGGAACGCAGGCGGUCUUUU